rnacentral:lncRNA from 1 species
AGUCCGCCAGAAAGAGGGAGUUGGAGACCCCGGAACGAUGUAUGAAAGAGAUUCUUGAAAGCUAUCAAAGUAGAUAAUAGAGUGCUGCUUCUUAUGAAAAAACCCUCUUUCUUUGUUCAUGUCUUCAAUUCCUAUUGCUUGCCUUCCUACAUCUACUCAUGAAAUUCCAUCAAACCUGACACCAACCCGAGCUCUAGGGAGGGCAUCGCAGUGU